GGGUGAGUAAUGUCUGGGAAACUGCCUGAUGGAGGGGGAUAACUACUGGAAACGGUAGCUAAUACCGCAUAACGUCGCAAGACCAAAGAGGGGGACCUUCGGGCCUCUUGCCAUCAGAUGUGCCCAGAUGGGAUUAGCUAGUAGGUGGGGUAACGGCUCACCUAGGCGACGAUCCCUAGCUGGUCUGAGAGGAUGACCAGCCACACUGGAACUGAGACACGGUCCAGACUCCUACGGGAGGCAGCAGUGGGGAAUAUUGCACAAUGGGCGCAAGCCUGAUGCAGCCAUGCCGCGUGUAUGAAGAAGGCCUUCGGGUUGUAAAGUACUUUCAGCGGGGAGGAAGGUGUUGAGGUUAAUAACCUCAGCAAUUGACGUUACCCGCAGAAGAAGCACCGGCUAACUCCGUGCCAGCAGCCGCGGUAAUACGGAGGGUGCAAGCGUUAAUCGGAAUUACUGGGCGUAAAGCGCACGCAGGCGGUCUGUCAAGUCAGAUGUGAAAUCCCCGGGCUCAACCUGGGAACUGCAUUCGAAACUGGCAGGCUAGAGUCUUGUAGAGGGGGGUAGAAUUCCAGGUGUAGCGGUGAAAUGCGUAGAGAUCUGGAGGAAUACCGGUGGCGAG
rnacentral:rRNA from 1 species